GAAGAGCUUCCAACUGGGGAUGAUGAGGCGAAGGAAUGAUUGCAAAUAUUCGGGGGUGUUGAUCGGGGGGCAGAGUCAGACUUGGCUGUGUAAAUAUGAUGAAGAUAAAUCAUCUUGGUUGAUGGUGGUUGGUUUGAUUUGAAGGAAAGCAUAGGAAAUAACUCUCUGAAGUAACUCUCUGCAGGACUCCCCAUGAGUGGAUUGUGCCGUGAUGAUUGGGGGGUAGAUUCUCUCUGUUACUUGUUAGCCUAGGUCUCUGUUGCUUGCAGUGCAGUUCUGGUGAAGUGAUUUAGUACUAGUUUUCUCUACUUUCGGUUCUGCCCCCUUUUUUUAUUGGGGGGAAUGUUUUCUUUUUUUCUCUUUAUUAUGUUCUGGUGGCAUCUAGUUUGGUGGAAGGUAUUGGUGG
rnacentral:misc_RNA from 1 species